CCCAGGUGCCCCCAAAGCCAAGGUGCUAGGAUCCAGCCAGGCCUUUCUGGCCCCAGGGCCUGUCCUGCCCCACCGUGGUCUCAGUGCACCAAGGAUUCAUUUCCAGCCUCUUCUCAAGAUUCAGCAUAUUUAACUCUGUUCCAUGCAAAAUCUCCCAUCGAUCCGUUAGGUUGCUCUGCACUCUCAACUUCCUGCUGUUCGAUCUGCAUCCAGAUAUAGCCUACAGGAUUGCAGAGUGAGAGGGGGACUGUAGAGAUUAAGCAAAGGAGAAAUGGGUAAGUUUCUAAACUUUUCCCUCUUUUUGCCUAUCAUCCCAAAGUCAAAAUCUUUCCAUUUCUUCAAGGAUUUUUCUUCACGUUAUCACCAACUCUUCAAAAUUUUUAAUUGUGAGACAUACAUUUUUCAGUUAGGGAAAUGGGCCAAAUAAAUUAACUGACUUUUCUAAAAUAUGACAAUAUGUCCACACCCCAAAGUUAGAAUGUAAUUUUCCCUUAAAACUUAGUUUCCCAACUCCAAAUUGCUACAUUUCAGUUUUUAUUUAAAUAUUUAAUUUUCUCCUCAUGCAAGUAUUAUAACUCUCAUAUAGGGCUUCUCAGGCGGCUCAGUGGUAAAGAAUCCACCUACCAGUGCAGGAGACGCAAGAGAUGCAGGUUCAAUUCCUGGGUUGAGAAGAUCCCUUGGAGUAGGAAUGGCAACCCACUGCAGUAUUCUUGCCUGGAAAAUUCCAUGGACAGAGGAGUCCGGUGGGCUGCAAUUUAUGGGGUCGCAAAGAGUCAAACAUGACUGAGCAUGCACACAUCAUUAGACAUACUGAAAUGCUAAAUUCUGUGAUUGCAGGAUGAUCUGGGAAAACCUUCCAUCUUCUGCCUGAGUCCCAGAAUACUUGAGCUCACUUGACUAUGGUCUGAACAGAACAUUAUGAGCAGAUACCCUGAUCCUUUUGAUCUCAUGAUGCGAAAAAUCAGGCGCUCUGCUGCUAGACUUGUGGUACCUGAGCCUACUUCCCCCAGCCCUUAGCUUGGAUGGCACCUGGGAACACCAGUGUUGAGGGGCUUCCCUGCCCCAGGUCACAUUUGAGUGUGAGAGGCUGGGUUCCCAGUGUUUUGUGGGUUGAUCUAAUUGUGUCCCU
ensembl:lncRNA